rnacentral:rRNA from 1 species
GGCUAGGACGAACGCUGGCGGCGUGCCUAAUACAUGCAAGUCGAACGGAGUUAAGGGCUUCGGCUUUAACUUAGUGGCGAACGGGUGAGUAACGCGUGAGCAACCUGACUCAAAGAGGGGGACAACAGCUGGAAACGGCUGCUAAUACCGCAUAAGACCACAAUGUGGCAUCACGAAGGGGUCAAAGAAAUUCGCUUUGAGAGGGGCUCGCGUCCCAUUAGAUAGUUGGUGAGGUAACGGCCCACCAAGUCCGCGAUGGGUAGCCGAGCUGAGAGGCUGAUCGGCCACACUGGAACUGAGACACGGUCCAGACUCCUACGGGAGGCAGCAGUAGGGAAUAUUGGGCAAUGGGCGCAAGCCUGACCCAGCAACGCCGCGUGAGGGAAGAAGGUUUUCGGAUUGUAAACCUCUGUCCUAUGUGACGAAGGAAGUGACGGUAGCAUAGGAGGAAGCCCCGGCUAACUACGUGCCAGCCGCCGC